GAUGAACGCUGGCUACAGGCUUAACACAUGCAAGUCGAGGGGAAACGACGGGGAAGCUUGCUUCCCCGGGCGUCGACCGGCGCACGGGUGAGUAACGCGUAUCCAACCUGCCUCUGACUGAGGGAUAACCCGUCGAAAGUCGGCCUAAUACCUCAUGGCAUCGUCUGCGGGCAUCCAGCGACGAUUAAAGAUUUCAUCGGUCAGGGAUGGGGAUGCGUCUGAUUAGCUUGUUGGCGGGGUAACGGCCCACCAAGGCUACGAUCAGUAGGGGUUCUGAGAGGAAGGUCCCCCACAUUGGAACUGAGACACGGUCCAAACUCCUACGGGAGGCAGCAGUGAGGAAUAUUGGUCAAUGGGCGGGAGCCUGAACCAGCCAAGUAGCGUGCAGGAAGACGGCCCUAUGGGUUUGUAACUGCUUUUAUGCGGGGAUAAAGUGAGGGACGUGUCCUUCAUUGCANGUACCGCAUGAAUAAGGACCGGCUAAUCCGUGCCAGCAGCCGCGGGUAUACGGAAGGUCCUGGNCGUUAUCCGGAUUUAUGGGUAAAAGGAGCGUANGCCGUGGAUUUAGCGUGUUGUGAAAUGCAGGUGCUCAACGUCUGCACUGCAGCGCGAACUGGUCCACUAGAGUGUGCGCAACGCAGGCGGAAUUCGUCGUGUAGCGGUGAAAUGCUUAGAUAUGACGAAGAACUCCGAUUGCGAAGGCAGCCUGCGGGAGCACAACUGACGCUGAAGCUCGAAAGUGCGGGUAUCGAACAGGAUUAGAUACCCUGGUAGUCCGCACGGUAAACGAUGGAUGCCCGUUGUCAGGCUGUUUCAGCCUGGUGACCAAGCGAAAGCAUUAAGCAUCCCACCUGGGGAGUACGCCGGCAACGGUGAAACUCAAAGGAAUUGACGGGGGCCCGCACAAGCGGAGGAACAUGUGGUUUAAUUCGAUGAUACGCGAGGAACCUUACCCGGGCUUGAAUUGCAGACGAACGAUUCAGAGAUGAUGAGGCCUUUCGGGGCGUCUGUGAAGGUGCUGCAUGGUUGUCGUCAGCUCGUGCCGUGAGGUGUCGGCUUAAGUGCCAUAACGAGCGCAACCCCUUUCUUCAGUUGCCAUCAGGUGAUGCUGGGCACUCUGUAGACACUGCCACCGCAAGGUGUGAGGAAGGUGGGGAUGACGUCAAAUCAGCACGGCCCUUACGUCCGGGGCUACACACGUGUUACAAUGGCCGGUACAGAGAGUUGAUUUUGUGCAAACACGAUCCAAUCCUUAAAUCCGGUCCCAGUUCGGACUGGGGUCUGCAACCCGACCCCACGAAGCUGGAUUCGCUAGUAAUCGCGCAUCAGCCAUGGCGCGGUGAAUACGUUCCCGGGCCU
rnacentral:rRNA from 1 species